UAUUAAAACUUUCAUCUAUUUGUACUAUUAUAAAUUGGCGUGAUUGAUGGAUAACCAGACAAUAACACGUGGCAUGCCAUGUGUACUCCAUGCUAACGUAGGACUGGUUUUGAACAUUAGAAAUUCAUUAAAUUUUUAACA
rfam:Gossypium raimondii Chr06_contig_786, whole genome shotgun sequence.